rnacentral:rRNA from 1 species
UGGGGAAUCUUGCGCAAUGGGCGAAAGCCUGACGCAGCGACGCCGCGUGGGGGAUGAAGCUUUUCGGAGUGUAAACCCCUUUCGACUGGGACGAAUACCUCGCAAGAGGGGUGACGGUACCAGUAUAAGAAGCCCCGGCUAACUACGUGCCAGCAGCCGCGGUAAGACGUAGGGGGCCAGCGUUGUUCGGAAUUACUGGGUGUAAAGGGUCAGUAGGCGGUGUGGCAAGUUGGGAGUGAAAUCUCUGGGCUCAACCCAGAGGCUGCUUCCAAGACUGCUGUGCUUGAGUGUGGGAGAGGCGCGUGGAAUUGCAGGUGUAGCGGUGAAAUGCGUAGAUAUCUGCAGGAACACCCGUGGCGAAAGCGGCGCGCUGGACCACAACUGACGCUGAAUGACGAAAGCUAGGGGAGCAAACAGGAUUAGAUACCCCCGUAGUCC